rnacentral:rRNA from 1 species
AUUGAACGCUGGCGGCAGGCCUAACACAUGCAAGUCGAACGAGUGGCGGACGGGUGAGUAAUGUCUGAGAAAAUGCCUGAUGGAGGGGGAUAACUACUGGAAACGGUAGCUAAUACCGCAAACCACCCUAUGGGCCCAGGUGGGAUUAGCUUGUUGGUGGGGUAACGGCUCACCAAGGCGAAGAUCCCUAGCUGGCCUGAGAGGGUGACCAGCCACACUGGAACUGAGACACGGUCCAGACUCCUACGGGAGGCAGCAGUGGGGAAUAUUGGACAAUGGGCGAAAGCCUGAUGCAGCCACGCCGCGUGAAUGAAGAAGGCCUUCGGGUUGUAAAGCACUUUCGGCGGGGAGGCGUUACCCACAGAGGAAGCAACGGCUAACUCCGUGCCAGCCGCCGCGGUAAUAC